AAAGUGAAAACGUGUGACCUGGUAAAGGUCUGUUAGUUCAGCAGCAAACAAUUCUCUUUUUUAUUUGUGUAGGUCUGAGUGUUAGAAGUUUGACUGGUUUAAUUUCUUGUUUUUUUCCUGUGAAUUUGGCCUUUCUGUCAUAGAACUUGUUUACUUUUUUUUUUAAUAACCUCUAAGCACCUUUGACUCAGAAGGUGGCAUCACUGCUGCUUAAAAAAAAAACCUUCUUUGGAAUAUAGAGAUGGGAUAUGAAUAUUAGGCAAUAAGAAAAGUAAACCUUUGUGAUAAAGGGACAAACAACAGAUUUGAGCUCACCCAGUCCCGCUAGAAGUUGUCUGCCCAGCCGUACCUUCUGCCCCUAACUCAGGUGGGUGUAUGAACUGCUGGUCUGGAUGGAAAUCACCAAUCACGUUCCCACUGGUUUCCUGAUUUAUGCUGAGGCACUGGCCUUUACGACUCCAGUCUCACUCCAUCUGAUUCCAGAGGACGUCUGACCAGCAGGUCCAGCGUGUUGCCCUACUGAAAUAAAUGAUGACCUCAAAAGAAUGUGAUCAGUAGGUUACACAAACAUCAUACCCACCUCAUGUGCUUUGGCCUGUUCAGUGUACUAAGGUCUAAUGUCAGGGCACUUCUCUAUAAGACAGACAAACAAGAAACAUGUUUCACAGCCACAGUGAAACGGUUUCAUUUAUUGUAGAACAUUUUUAAAAAUAGAUGAGAGGAACAGUAUUUUAUUAGUCUGUCACUGUUCUCUCGUAUAAGAAUUUCGUAAGGUUAAAAUUGACUGAAUUUCUCAAUCCACAAACACUUAAUAACAGAUAUGCUGUAUGAUGUAGAUACACAAAGUUAGCAACACUUCUGGCUCUUGAUAAAUACUGUGUUUAGUUUACUAUGGUGUUUAGUGUGGCACAUUUGCCUGAACGCCCCCUCAGAGGAGUGGUCUACUGAAGGAAUGGACCUGACAGGUUCAGGCAGCAGUGACUCGCUUGUUUCCAUGUUUUCUGGGGCACGUCUUCCUUAUUUGCUCUUGAUGGGGUAACGCCAGCUGCCACAAACCCGUAGAUCCGAACUUGUGGUGACUGGCUGCACAAGCUCGUAUCUAUAGGUAUGUGUCUUCCUGGUAAAUGCGGCACCUGCCUUAUGCCUGUAAGAAAAAAAAAGCUCAGUGUUGCAGGUUUUGACUGCAUAGUCCUAAAGAUGGGAUGGAUCAGACUUCAUCACAGUUUUGUUAUACCAUGAAAUCAUUUACAACACCAAACUCUCUUUCUUUGUGCUGAGACAGCCCUGAUGCUGUCUACCCCUGAAACCUGGGAGACAGGAUAUCCUCUGCCAUGCUUAGCCUACAAUAUGUGCCACAUCUUUACGCAGUGACCCUGUCUACUAUAAAGUACUAGCGUUGGGCAACAGUAUAUCACGAUGUGACUUAAUUAGGUCACUGGGUC